rnacentral:rRNA from 1 species
ACGAACGCUGGCGGCGUGCCUAAUACAUGCAAGUAGAACGCUGAAGAGAGGAGCUUGCUCUUCUUGGAUGAGUUGCGAACGGGUGAGUAACGCGUAGGUAACCUGCCUUGUAGCGGGGGAUAACUAUUGGAAACGAUAGCUAAUACCGCAUAACAAUGGAUGACACAUGUCAUUUAUUUGAAAGGGGCAAUUGUUCCACUACAAGAUGGACCUGCGUUGUAUUAGCUAGUAGGUGAGGUAAUGGCUCACCUAGGCGACGAUACAUAGCCGACCUGAGAGGGUGAUCGGCCACACUGGGACUGAGACACGGCCCAGACUCCUACGGGAGGCAGCAGUAGGGAAUCUUCGGCAAUGGGGGCAACCCUGACCGAGCAACGCCGCGUGAGUGAAGAAGGUUUUCGGAUCGUAAAGCUCUGUUGUAAGUCAAGAACGGGUGUGAGAGUGGAAAGUUCACACUGUGACGGUAGCUUACCAGAAAGGGACGGCUAACUACGUGCCAGCAGCCGCGGUAAUACGUAGGUCCCGAGCGUUGUCCGGAUUUAUUGGGCGUAAAGCGAGCGCAGGCGGUUUGAUAAGUCUGAAGUUAAAGGCUGUGGCUCAACCAUAGUUCGCUUUGGAAACUGUCAAACUUGAGUGCAGAAGGGGAGAGUGGAAUUCCAUGUGUAGCGGUGAAAUGCGUAGAUAUAUGGAGGAACACCGGUGGCGAAAGCGGCUCUCUGGUCUGUAACUGACGCUGAGGCUCGAAAGCGUGGGGAGCGAACAGGAUUAGAUACCCUGGUAGUCCACGCCGUAAACGAUGAGUGCUAGGUGUUGGAUCCUUUCCGGGAUUCAGUGCCGCAGCUAACGCAUUAAGCACUCCGCCUGGGGAGUACGACCGCAAGGUUGAAACUCAAAGGAAUUGACGGGGGCCCGCACAAGCGGUGGAGCAUGUGGUUUAAUUCGAAGCAACGCGAAGAACCUUACCAGGUCUUGACAUCCGAUGCAUAGUGCAGAGAUGCAUGAAGUCCUUCGGGACAUCGAGACAGGUGGUGCAUGGUUGUCGUCAGCUCGUGUCGUGAGAUGUUGGGUUAAGUCCCGCAACGAGCGCAACCCUUAUGACUAGUUGCCAGCAUUUAGUUGGGCACUCUAGUAAGACUGCCGGUGACAAACCGGAGGAAGGUGGGGAUGACGUCAAAUCAUCAUGCCCCUUAUGACCUGGGCUACACACGUGCUACAAUGGUUGGUACAACGAGUUGCGAGUCGGUGACGGCGAGCUAAUCUCUUAAAGCCAAUCUCAGUUCGGAUUGUAGGCUGCAACUCGCCUACAUGAAGUCGGAAUCGCUAGUAAUCGCGGAUCAGCACGCCGCGGUGAAUACGUUCCCGGGCCUUGUACACACCGCCCGUCACACCACGAGAGUUUGUAACACCCGAAGUCGGUGAGGUAACCUUUUGGAGCCAGCCGCCUAAGGUGGGACAGAUGAUUGGGGUG